AGAAACACCUGGGAAGAGCUUAAGAACUUAUGAGAUCACUGUACAGAGGUGUUUGACAAUGCUAAUAUCUCUGCAGGAGAACAAUGGUCCAUGUUUUUAGGG